CUCCAGCCUGGGCAAUAGAGCGAAACCCUGUCUCAAAAAAAAGAAAAUACAAAGUCAGAAAAGAAAAGCCAGAAGAACUGGUGCCGUACAAUUCCCUGUGCUAGUUUCUGAGAAAUCCCCGUACGCUGCACCUGCUGCUUUCUGUGGUGGGUGGGAGACCCCAGGGCAGGGCAGGCGCCACUGAGGGCCUUUCUGGGAGUCAGCCAGCAGGCCAUGCAGCAGCUGACACCACGAGCGGGCUGGCCUCCUCCAGCAGGAAGCAGUGGCAGCUCUGGCUGUUGGUGCUGAUGACAGCAUUGGGUCGAGGGGAAGGGGCUGGAAAGCCGCAGACCCCCCAGUGCUGCGCAUGGUCCUGGAGCUGUCAGCCAGGGGAGCAGGGUCAGCGUUCAGCCAGCCCUCCCAUUUCCUGCCCGUGGGCCCUUAACCACACUCCCUUUUCUAGAAGUCAGUCCUAAGGUUUGUCUGCUCUGGCUAGGAGGAUGUAAAUUUGGAUUCUUAGAGGGCACAGCACCCAAAAUCCCAGGGUGGUGCCAGACCCCCAGUCCCUGCCCAGAUAAAGUGGCACGGUGGCAUGCAGCAUUACUGUCUAUUGCUGUGGGGGUCUCAAACACCCACCCCAUCUCCGUGCACAACUGUGACUGGCCCCGCUGGCAGCUGGGGCGCAGGUAACAGAUGGGAGCUGCAGCCGGGAGCUGGUGAGGUCUUGCUGUCAUCUGGACAAGACCUUGUGCUCUCAGAACUUGUGGAGUGGAGCUGGGCCUGUCCCGGGCCAGUGGACCCCUGUAUGUCGGGGGAUUGGGGUGCUGUGGGCCUGGUCCUGCACUGGCAGACAGACCUUGCUUUGGCCCAGCUCUUUUUUACCCUGGCUCCGACGGCAGGCUUGAAGCACCCUCUCAUUACCUCUGUUCACCCUCAGCUGUCCCUUUCCCUUGUCUGGUCCGCCUGAGGCCUCCUAGCAGGCAGCCUGGGUGUGAGUUGAGCCUCUCUGUUUUCCUUCUGGUGGGAAAGUGGCCUUUUACCUCUAUACCUGCUCCCCAGUGUUUCCUUGGGGAGGAGGGAGAGGGCUGGGCAGCAGUGAUCCAGGCAGGCAGCACAUGCAGUGGUGGCCAGCCAGGAUGCCAAAGCCGCACGGGGAUGUGUCGUGUGUCUCCGGGCCUUUGACAUCUCUACUUUAGAGGAUUUUACCACGUCUGCACACCUGUCGGGGGAGAGGGGACAGCAAGGAGGGAGGCUAAAGAGCUUUGAGGCUCAGCAGCAUGUUUGUGGCAUUCGGUGGGCGCCGUGGCCUUGGGCGGCUGGACAGGUUUUUGUGAGGGACACACACACGGGGCAGGUGGGAAGCUUGGCGGAGGCUUCAGGAAUACUGAGGAAGCUUUUUAGGACCCCCCCACCUCCAUGCCUCUACCAGGGCCGGCCCCCUCUCCGCCCCCCCACCCCCACAUGGGACUCUGCUUGUCGGGGCUUGCAAAAAUCAACCUUUAAGAAAAGGGAACUCUUAACAUUGAAUGUUGACUGUCUGUGUGUGCAUGUGUGUGUGCACGGACGUGCCCUUGCACAAGUUUGCGUGUGCGUGUUUACUUCCUGGAAUUUUGUGUGAAAUCCUCUUCAAUCGUGUAGCAGAAUUCACCUCCAUUUCCCAGUCACAUUGUUGGUUCUGUGCUCUGAACCUGGGUGUAGCUCAUUUGAAGGACUCUCUUCUGCAUUUCCUAACUGGUAUUUGGUGGUCUCAAGCUGAGAUUGUGGAGGGUUGGGAGAAACUGAAGUUCUGUACAUUUCUAUAGAGUUUACAUCCUGCAGUUAGAAAGGCAGGUAGGGCUCAGCCCGGGCCCCACAGCUCCAGGCCGUCCCCCACAGGCCUCCCACAGUGCACCUGCUUCUCUAGCUGAAUCUUUUCCCACAGCCCGGGAAAGGAGAGCGGGUUCACUUGCUGUUCUGUUCACAGCAGAAGCACCAUGUUCUGGUCCUUUUUCAGGUUCAGUUUAUUGUGUAAAUGGCGUUUUUUUUCUGGUGUGAGUUUUGGUGAUCGUGGCCAGGCUCCUUUGAGGAGAUGGUUACACCUCGUGGUCUGAAGAAGAAACCCAGAAAAGAGUCUGGUUUGGCCAGAGGCCCCCCGGCCCACGCCACCCUGAGCACGCCCCUCUGAUGCUCUGCUGUCGAGAAGCACGUUUCCACCAGCUGUGUUUAACACUACAAUGCAUUUUUAAAACUAUAUUUGCAUCCAAGACAAUAAAGAAACCUUAUUUUUUUGAAAAACCUGUGAUGUGUGGCCUUAAAUGCUAUCCUGUUGAGCUAUGAAAGAGAUGGGAAAAUGAAGAGAUCUGAGCACAGCAAUGCCCUUGGCCAGCUUGCUCCUUCUAACCUCGGGAGGGUAAUCGGCCCGGAAUGGAGGCAUCCGGGUGAGGAAGAGAUCCAGGGUGGGAGGGCAAUUCUGGAGGUGUGUCCGGAAAGUCGAUGGUCCUUAAGACAGGCCUUCCCGCAAAGGCUGAUAAGAAAGGCCCAGUGUGGUGGGUUCUGCCUGUGGCCUCAGGAGAGGCUGGUGAGUCAUGCCACUGCUCCAGGCCACACCCAGGUGGACAGAGCUCACGGGCGCCCCUAUUAACUUCCUGCUUCCUCAUCCAGGACUUGGGCAGACAGCACCAGCCCUGCACGCUUGACAGUUUCAUGUGAAAUCACGUGUGUCUGAGUGUUCAGGAGCCUGUGGAGCUCUGUGCUUAGAUAGUGCAGUCAUCAGCACAGCGAGCACUAGUCCAGCUCUGCAAAGGCUUCAGAAACAGUGGUGGCCUCCAGGCACUGUGGUCCCCCUGCUUGUUACUGACCCCACACCAGAGACGGGAAAGACUAGAAAGCUGACCAGCAGAAAUGUCCUUUUGUUCAGGUACCGAGAAGGUUUGGCUCAUCUCUGUUUAAUGUAGAAGCUUUUCUCUGCCAUUUUCCUGGGCUCCGCACCCACCCACUGGCUCCCUGUGCUUGGACAGGGUGACCCAGUGACAAGAGCCAGCCGGCACAGAGUCGCGGGGUUGCUUCACGGGAUGACUGCCCAGAUAUGUAUCUCGAUGUAGAAUGCAGUGUGCUGAUACACAAGCUCUUGUCUGAUCAAACCCCCAUGCCUCCCCUGAGAAGUCUCCAUGACUCAAAGCAAGCCUGGACCUUGAGAACCGGGGGUCCUAGAGGGAAAGGCAUGCGCACACACAGAGUCCAGCCUCGGAGUGGCUCCCAGGACACCGAUCGUGUUGUGAUUACACAGUUUCUCUUCCCCACCAGAUUCCGAGCCCACCGGGACGAGGGCCUGGUGCCAUACCUCACACAGACCUGGCAGGAGCAGACAUCCAGACAGCCUGUGGAUGAAGCCUCGCCACGCCCACCCCGCUCCAGCUGCCUCUGCCCACCGCCCUGGGCACCGGCGGGGCAGGGGAGGAAGGGGGAUCAGAGGGCAUUGACUCUGAAGACUGCAUAGAAAAUCUCCAGUACACACAGAAGUGGAGAACAGUAUAAUGAACCCCUCAUCUCAUCAAGAAUGCCCACCAUCCACUUUGACAACUGUCAACUCAGGGCCAAUUUUGUUUUCUUCUAAGACCUCAUGCCCACCUCCAUUAUUUUGAAGCACAUUGCAGACACCAUAUGGAUUUCUUCUGUUAAGUAUGCUUUUCUUUGCUUUCUUUUUUUUUUUUUUUUUUUUUUUGAGACAGACUCUUGCUCUGUUGCCCAGGCUGGAGG